rnacentral:rRNA from 1 species
GACGAACGCUGGCGGCGUGCUUAACACAUGCAAGUCGAACGGAAAGGCCCUGCUUUUGUGGGGUGCUCGAGUGGCGAAAGGGUGAGUAACACGUGAGUAACCUGCCCUUGACUUUGGGAUAACUUCAGGAAACUGGGGCUAAUACCGGAUAGGAGCUCCCGCUGCAUGGUGGGGGUUGGAAAGUUUCGGCGGUUGGGGAUGGACGCGCGGCUUAUCAGCUUGUUGGUGGGGUAGUGGCUUACCAAGGCUUUGACGGGUAGCCGGCCUGAGAGGGUGACCGGCGACAUUGGGACUGAGAUACGGCGCAGACUCCUACGGUAGGCAGCAGUGGGGAGUAUUGCACAAUGGGCGGAAGCCUGAUGCAGCAACGCCGCGUGCGGGAUGACGGCCUUCGGGUUGUAAACCGCUUUCGCCUGUGACGAAGCGUGAGUGACGGUAAUGAGUAAAGAAGCACCGGCUAACUACGUG